UUAUGGCUCAGGAUGAACGCUAGCUACAGGCUUAACACAUGCAAGUCGAGGGGCAGCAUUGGAGUAGCAAUACUCAGAUGGCGACCGGCGCACGGGUGAGUAACACGUAUCCAACCUGCCGCUUACUCGGGGAUAGCCUUUCGAAAGAAAGAUUAAUACCCGAUGGUAUAAAGAGUUCGCAUGUUCUCUUUAUUAAAGAAUUUCGGUAAGCGAUGGGGAUGCGUUCCAUUAGAUAGUUGGCGGGGUAACGGCCCACCAAGUCUACGAUGGAUAGGGGUUCUGAGAGGAAGGUCCCCCCACAUUGGAACUGAGACACGGUCCAAACUCCUACGGGAGGCAGCAGUGAGGAAUAUUGGUCAAUGGACGAGAGUCUGAACCAGCCAAGUAGCGUGAAGGAUGACUGCCCUAUGGGUUGUAAACUUCUUUUAUAAGGGAAUAAAGUGAGGGACGUGUCCCUUUUUGUAUGUACCUUAUGAAUAAGGAUCGGCUAACUCCGUGCCAGCAGCUGC
rnacentral:rRNA from 1 species